CCGUGGCUGGGCUCCCCCAUCCCAUUUGACAGCACAGACCAGUCACUCUUCUCUACUUGCACGGUGAUAACCCUCGGUAAUGGGAAGCAAGUAAGAUUUUGGAAAGGCCGGUCGCUGCAUAGCAUAGCUCUUGCUGAUAUUGCCCCUGAACUGUUUAAUUUGGCACGACGAAAGAACCUCUCUAUCCGUGAAGUGUUGGCUGGCAAUAGAUGGAUGAAUGGUUUGGAACGUAUCAACCCCGAGCAGCUCCUGGACCAACUUGUCAAGCUUUGGGACAUGAUCCAUCCCACUGUCCUCUCGAAUGUUCAUGAUAGCAUUCAUUGGAGGCUCUCAAACGGCGGAUGUUACUCUGCUGCAUCUGCUUAUUCUGCUCAAUUCGUUGGUCGUUCCACUGACCACCAGCUGCAUGCAACUUGAAAGAUCAAGAGCGAGCCCAAGGUGAAGUUCUACUUCUGGUUGUUAAUUCAGAACAUGAACUUGACAACAGAUUGUCUUGCUACCAGGGAUUGUUCUCACAACGGAAGUGCAUGUUUUGUGAUCAGGAGCUCGAGUCGGCUGCCCAUCUUACGCUGA
rnacentral:rRNA from 1 species